AGGCUAGUCGCUCAAGGGUAGAGCAUGCUGUCGACAGGGGCGUAGUGUCUGGUUCGAUUCCAGCGUGGCCUA
rnacentral:tRNA from 3 species